UACGGAGGGUGCAAGCGUUAAUCGGAAUUACUGGGCGUAAAGCGUGCGCAGGCGGUUUGUUAAGUCCGUUGUGGAAGCCCCGAGCUCAACUUGGGAAUUGCAGUGGAUACUGGCAGGCUGGAGUACGGUAGAGGAAGGUGGAAUUCCGGUGUAGCAGUGAAAUGCGUAGAUAUCGGGAGGAACACCCGUGGCGAAGGCGGCUCUCUGGGACGGUACUGACGCUGAGACGCGAAAGCGUGGG
rnacentral:rRNA from 1 species